GACGAACGCUGGCGGCGUGCUUAACACAUGCAAGUCGAGCGAUGAAGCACCUUCGGGUGUGAAUUAGCGGCGAACGGGUGAGGAACACGUGAGAAAUCUGCCUUCAACUCUGGGAUAACUACGUGAAAACGGGGCUAAUACCGGAUAUGAAACCUGCGGGCAUCCGCGGGUUUGGAAAGUUUUUCGGUUGAAGAUGAUCUCGCGGCCUAUCAGCUUGUUGGGGAGGUAAUGGCUCACCAAGGCGACGACGGGUAGCCGGCCUGAGAGGGCGACCGGCCACACUGGGACUGAGACACGGCCCAGACUCCUACGGGAGGCAGCAGUGGGGAAUAGUGGGCAAUGGAGGAAACUCUGACCCAGCGACGCCGCGUGCGGGAUGAAGGCCUUCGGGUUGUAAACCGCUUUCAGCAGGGAAGAAGCGAAAGUGACGGUACCUGCAGAAGAAGCACCGGCUAACUAUGUGCCAGCAGCCGCCGUAA
rnacentral:rRNA from 1 species